rnacentral:misc_RNA from 1 species
GAUGAAGAACGUAGCGAAAUGCGAUACGUAGUGUGAAUUGCAGAAUUCAGUGAAUCAUCGAAUCCUUGAACGCACAUUGCACCUCUCGGUAUUCCGGGAGGUAUGCCUGUUCGAGCGUCAUUUGUACCCUCAAGCUCUGCUUGGUGUUGGGUGUUUGUUCCGCCUCUGUGUGUGAACUCGCCUCAAAACAAUUGGCAGCCGGCGUACUUGUUUCGGAGCGCAGCACAUUUUGCGAUCCAGAUCAACGUACAGCGGCAUCCAAGAAGCCUUAUUUAACGCUCUUGACCUCGGAUCAGGUAGGGAUACCCGCUGAACUUAAGCAUAUCAAUAAGCGGAGGA